rnacentral:lncRNA from 1 species
AUGGAGAGAGUGAGGAUUGAAGGCUCUCGAGGACUGCCAACAUUGCUAUGGAAACCCCCCAAAAAUAAAGACUUUCCCAGCCUUGUGAGAGCACACCUGCAAGAACAAGAAUUGCAGUUAGCCUUUUGCCUGUCAAAAACUACUCUCCUUCAAUAUCAGUGUCGCUUAAGGACAUCUUUUAUGUUUGGGCUGGAGCUUCCUGGUGUUCGUAUGAAAAAUCUUCACAGAAGAGGAGUAUGGUGUUUCUGAGAGGAAACCUUCACAGCACUGCACAGACAAGCCCCCGCCUUUACAUAUGAAAAGGUGAAGAUAUAUAACAGCCUUGGGGUAAAUAAUAAAGCUUCCUUUCUGCUAAAGAAGAAAGGUUCG